ensembl:snoRNA SNORA74 Small nucleolar RNA SNORA74
CCUAGCUGUAUGCAUUUGCCUAGGUUGUUUGUACCUAGGCAAGUGUCACACUGCUGGGAGAAAAGUAGUGAAUAGCUGGCAGGCAUUCUGGGCAUGGUAAUACCAAAUUUGUGUUAGCUAUAAUAGUGUGCCAGCAUGGUUGCCUAUGCUGGGACACACCACUCUACCCCUAGGCAGGGACAGGGGUAGUGCUA